GCUAAUCUUGACUCGGCGUUACCCUUGUUCAAGUUCGAGAGUUCAAAUAAUCUGAAUCUGAAUGAGAACCUCCUUGUAAGCGAAAAUGAAAAUUUCAUCUCGCUACUGAACUCGCAGCAGGGAUCAGGGUUCAUGGGGAUGGUCGACUACGAGCCAAGUUUUGGAUACGGAUUAUGGGAAGUGGGGGAUGGGUUUGGUGGUAGAGGGGGUUGGCCAAUGGGGUAUGUGAAUGGAGGUGCUUUGGAGUGCAAUACGUUGCAGGUAGGUGAUGUUGAAGGAGGAUGUGGGUUGGGGGACGAAGAUUGAUUUUCUUGGCCUGGUCUUGCAAUUUCCAGGGCAAGAUAAAGUGAGGAAAAGGUUUUCUUGAACGCUUUCUCUUUAUGGGUGGGGUUUUGGAUGUUCUGUUUAGCUUUAUUACAGGUUCUGUUUUAGUUUCAGUUGUCCUUUUCUUUUUGGUUCCUAUAGAUAGGUUAUGGUAUAGAAUAUGACUGGUAUCAAGUCUCUGGUUGGUAGUAACUUCUCUGUUCUAAUGGCUUUGUAAAGGUUUUUGUGUCUUUCUUGAACACAUCC
rnacentral:misc_RNA from 1 species